rnacentral:rRNA from 1 species
GACGAACGCGGCGGCGUGCCUAAUACAUGCAAGUAGAACGCUGAAGCUUGGUGCUUGCACCGAGCGGAUGAGUUGCGAACGGGUGAGUAACGCGUAGGUAACCUGCCUGGUAGCGGGGGAUAACUAUUGGAAACGAUAGCUAAUACCGCAUAAAAUGGAUUAUCGCAUGAUAAUCAAUUGAAAGGUGCAAUUGCAUCACUACCAGAUGGACCUGCGUUGUAUUAGCUAGUUGGUGGGGUAACGGCUCACCAAGGCAACGAUACAUAGCCGACCUGAGAGGGUGAUCGGCCACACUGGGACUGAGACACGGCCCAGACUCCUACGGGAGGCAGCAGUAGGGGAAUCUUUCGGCAAAUGGGACGGAAAGUUCUGACCCGAGCAAACGCCCGGCGUGAGUGAAAGAAAGGUUUUUCGGGAUUCGUAAAAGGCUUCUGUUGUUAAAGAAGAAGAAACGAAG